GUCUCUGUGGCGCAAUUGGUUAGCGCGUUCGGCUGUUAACCGAAAGGCUGGGGGUUCGAGGCCCCCCCAGGGCG
rnacentral:tRNA from 1 species